rnacentral:rRNA from 1 species
UAGGGAAUCUUCCACAAUGGACGCAAGUCUGAUGGAGCAACGCCGCGUGAGUGAAGAAGGCUUUCGGGUCGUAAAACUCUGUUGUUGGAGAAGAAUGGUCGGCAGAGUAACUGUUGUCGGCGUGACGGUAUCCAACCAGAAAGCCACGGCUAACUACGUGCCAGCAGCCGCGGUAAUACGUAGGUGGCAAGCGUUAUCCGGAUUUAUUGGGCGUAAAGCGAGCGCAGGCGGUUUUUUAAGUCUGAUGUGAAAGCCCUCGGCUUAACCGAGGAAGUGCAUCGGAAACUGGGAAACUUGAGUGCAGAAGAGGACAGCGGAACUCCAUGUGUAGCGGUGAAAUGCGUAGAUAUAUGGAAGAACACCAGUGGCGAAGGCGGCUGUCUGGUCUGUAACUGACGCUGAGGCUCGAAAGCAUGGGUAGCGAACAGGAUUAGAUACCCUGGUAGUCCAUGCCGUAAACGAUGAAUGCUAGGUGUUGGAGGGUUUCCGCCCUUCAGUGCCGCAGCUAACGCAUUAAGCAUUCCGCCUGGGGAGUACGACCGCAAGGUUGAA